AAUCUCGUGGUUGUGGAAACCAUAAUUUAUAUAAAUCCGCUGAUUGAAUUUGCAGAGGAAGACGCCAAGAACUCCAAGUUCGUCCAGCAACACAGGCGGUGAUCUACUCAAGUGAAAUCUAUUGCGCGAGUGCUUUCAGAGUUAUUCUAAUAAACAUAAAAGAGAGAAUCCUACAUACUUAUUGUUGAUCUCUCGUUUCCUUUCAUCUUUUGUCUUUUUCUCGAAACAUUGCUAGUUUGAAAUAUGGAUUGAUUCCUCUCUUUUUGUUAUCUUGAAUCGAAUGUAGAUGGCUUACCAUCAUUAGUGUCAAAUCUCAUUGCAAGA